GGGAGAAUGAUUUCCUGGUCAGUAGAUGAAAGAAGGGGAAAGGAUGUGCGCUGAAAUAAGAGGCAUCCAUGGGUUGAUACAAACAUUUGGCACCAAAGUAUGGUCAUCUCUGGGCCACAGAACCUGCCUCCUUCCUGAGCGGCAUGAUGGCUGGACAUUCCCAUGGUGUUCCAAAUCUGGAAAUUAUGAGAUGGAACCAAAUCAGCUGCUCCCUCUGAGCCUACUCAUCAUACAGCUCCUGACCUCUGUAUGAACAGGAACAACAUAAUUUCCAGACCUGUAUUCCACAUGACUGCAAAGGUUAGACUCAGGAGCUUUAAAUUCAGAGCCUAGAAAGG